AAUGGGGGCAACCCUGAUGCAGCGACGCCGCGUGAGCGAUGAAGCCCUUCGGGGUGUAAAGCUCUUUCGGCAGGAACGAUAAUGACGGUACCUGCAGAAGAAGCUGCGGCUAACUACGUGCCAGCAGCCGCGGUAAUACGUAGGCAGCAAGCGUUGUUCGGAGUUACUGGGCGUAAAGAGUGCGUAGGCGGUCCUCUAAGUUCGGUGUGAAAUCUCCCGGCUCAACUGGGAGGGUGCGCCGGAAACUGGAGGGCUCGAGUAUGGGAGAGGAAAGCGGAAUUCCUGGUGUAGCGGUGAAAUGCGUAGAUAUCAGGAGGAACACCUGUGGUGUAGACGGCUUUCUGGACCAUGACUGACGCUGAGGCACGAAAGCGUGGGUAGCAAA
rnacentral:rRNA from 1 species